ensembl:lncRNA
GCAAUAUAUAUUGUAGUAUGUAUUGUAUUAUAUAUAUAUAUUGUAGUGUGCGAGAAUCUGCGGACUGCAAGACAGGAAGCGGAUCGUGGACGGGGCGGAUGUUGUAGCAGGAGGAGGAACUUGUAGCAAGAGGCGGGAAUAGGCCUAUCUCACGAAAAUCGGAAAUGACGUCACACCGGGUAAACAUUCUUCCGGCGUAGUCAUUUUUGUAUUGCCGUCAAUGCAAAAAUGGAUCGUUUCUUCGCCACUUCCCUGGUGGGUAUUCCCAAAUUGCGAUUCGAAGAUGUGCAGAAGAUUGUGGAGACACACUCAGCAACACCACAGCCCAGGCUGACAAAGGGGUACAAGUUUUUUGUGGAGGAGUUUGUACACAAUUAUCAAGAUCACCCUGGAGGCUGUUGGACAACUGGGUCUCUCAGAGCUGUAGCUGUGCUGCGGGGCAAAGGCUUCUGUAGCCAUAUAACCGCUCUGUUCCAGACAGCGCAUUAUGUGCAGCUGGGCCUUGAUGUGGUUCCACCUUCCCUGGCCUGUACCAGUCAACCACAGAUGUGGCAUCGACCUCAGUGUUUCCCCUAGAAUUUUUUUUAGGCCCGGUGGUAAGAGCUGAUGGUGUGAUUUGUUAUACAUUUUUUCACGGGAUGCUAGAGUAUUUGUUGGUUAUUUCCAAAUAAAACACUUGCUUAGCCAUCACAAGUUGGUUAAGUUAUGGACAUAUAAAGAACGAGGCUAGUGUUUCGCGGGGGCGGUAAAAAUGUCCAUGGUAACGGCGGGCUGAACCAAUCAGACGUCGCAUUUACGCGAUCGGUUCAUGGUAUAGUUCUUCUGCCGGAGAAUAAACAGUGUUUUUCUAAAAACAAAGUUGAUUUAAUAUAAACUAAUUUCAUGUACAGGAGCAUAAAGCACCAAUACAUAUUGAGAUAGCUGGUGGUGAGCUUGGAUGGUUAUGAUAUUAUGGCUAAUAAUAAUAAUAAUAAAAAAAAAAGUUUUUUUUUUUUCAUUUUUUUUUUUUUUCUUUUCAUUUCUUUUCAUUUUUUUGGCCGGUUGUUGGCCUGGCGGGGGCGCUCGUUGGCCUGGCGGCCCGCCAGGCCUGAACAAUGGUAGGGGAAACACUGGACCUCGAACCCAUGUGUGCUGUUGUGUCCUCUGUUCAAAUCAUACACUUCAGUAUUUGUCUAGAGUAUAUGCAUUUCCUGUAUUGUUGUUCGCCUCAGGGAAUCCAUCCAGAGGCUGUGAGUGACCUGGUGGUGAAGAAACCCAAGUCGGUGGGGAAGACUGGAGUCAAGUCCACACUCUACAGAGCGUAUGCUGAGGGAAUAUCCAGCUUGGAGUUGGUACCAUCUCAGCUGUGCUGACCUGGAAGAUGUCAGCAAUGACCUGUUCUUUAAGGCCAGUUGCUACUCUACAACAGUAGAUGAAAACUCAUCAAUGACUGGAAUCUUCCUUGAAGGGCGUGGUGUUGGAAUCGCCUCUUGUCCAAUCCUCUGUGCUUUGCUCCAAUGAAGAAUAUAUUGUGUUGAGGGGCAAAACAGACUCCCAAAACACUUGAAACACUUCUUGAGAUGGAAACCGAGUAUAAUAUGUCAUGGUCUGAUCAGACACACAAAACCUGUUGAGGACAGUUUGUGGCCCCAUGGACAUUUCUUGCAGCCUUGCCUCCAGCUCAGCAAUAUACUCCAGGGCAUCAUCCAGUGCACCUACAAAAAAAGAAGACAAAUUAGGGGGUGUUCACACAGGCAGUUUUUUUUUCAGGUGCGGGUGGAUGUUUUACAUUAUAUUCCUAUGACACAGGGUGUUUUUGUAAAAACAUCCUGGGUGCUUUUAAAAACACCGCUGCCAGCGGGUUUUUUUCACUGCUCUGGCUGGUUUUCAAGUUGGGAUAAAUUCAACUCGCCAAGAAAAAGCACCCGACGUCAGGCAGUUUUUUGACAGCUGACCAAUUAACGAGAACCUACGUCACUAGGAAAAACGUUGGAAAUUCAAGAAUGGCGACCCAAACCAAGAAGUCUUUCCCGACGGAGCAACUUGUUGUUCUUGUUGGUGAACAUGUUGAGUUAUAUGACAUGACCAACAAGUUAUACCACAACAUAUAUCACAAGGAGAGUAUCUGGAGGACGAUCGGUGGGAUUUUGGGACAUUAUCAAACCGUAGCUCCUGAAUACAACCAUGAAACGCCCCGUACUGCUGCCGUCCCCGGUUUAAGUCAUGCACCCGCAAACGGGAAGGUUCAUCGUUAUCCUCGUCGUUGUCAUCUAACGCCAAAACAAGGGCUAAUUUUCUCAUCCUCGACAUUGUCAUCUAACGCCAAAACAAGGGCUAAUUUUCUCAUCCUCGACAUUGUAACUGACACUGUAGCGUAGUCAAACCACUUUGAUACGGUAACCGAUUGGCAACGUUGGCUCUAGAACAUUCUGCUCUAGAAUGAGCUUGACAAAACCACCGUGUCAGUUUUUAGUUGGUAAAAAACCACCCGGGUCAGGUGUUUUUUAAUAUAAAAAAACUGCCUGUGUGAACACGCCCUUAGUCU